rnacentral:rRNA from 1 species
AUUGAACGCUGGCGGCAGGCCUAACACAUGCAAGUCGAGCGAGCGGCGGACGGGUGAGUAAUGUCUGGGAAACUGCCUGAUGGCGGGGGAUAACUACUGGAAACGGUAGCUAAUACCGCAUACCAUCAGAUGUGCCCAGUGGGGAUUAGCUAGUGGGUGGGGUAACGGCUCACCUAGGCGACGAUCCCUUGCUGAUCUGAGAGGAUGAUCAGCCACACUGGGACUGAGACACGGCCCAGACUCCUACGGGAGGCAGCAGUAGGGAAUAUUGGACAAUGGGCGCAAGCCUGAUGCAGCAAUGCCGCGUGUGUGAAGAAGGCCUUCGGGUUGUAAAGCACUUUCAGCGGGGAAGCGUUACCCGCAGAAGAAGCACCGGCUAACUCCGUGCCAGCAGCCGCGGUAAUUC